ensembl:lncRNA
CCGGCCCAGAGCUCGGGGCGGGGAACACAGGGCCGCCUCGCCCCGCCCCCGCCCCGCCCCCUCCGCCCCACCUCCCCUACUCCGUCCCUCCCGCGUGCAAACUAGGCGCCCCACCCGCUCCUGACCUUCCUAGCCCCUCCUCUGGCUCCGCCUCUUCCCGAGAUGGGACCCCCAAACACACGCCCGGGGGCUCUCUCCACACCCCAAGAGUCCUAUCUGUGCCUCCCGAGUGCAAGUUCACCCAAGUGGAUGGGCUGUAUAAAGGGCUAGAGGCAGAUCUACCCAAACCAGAGACGUGGCGUCUGCUAGACCGGCCUAGGCUCCAGUACCUGACUAAAGCCCAGAGAAGGGAGCAAGAAGGAGCUGAAGAAAGUGUGGCCCCCAGGAGCCAUGAAGACCACGGUUCGCUUUCCUGGGAAGGUUCCCUAACCAUGGACUAUAAGAUGUAGCAAGACUUAUAUUCAGUGAUUAAAAAAUGAAAGAAAGAAAAGAAAGCAGUGUGGCCUCUUUACAUUAUGUUUCCU